CCUACGGGUGGCAGCAGUGAGGAAUAUUGGUCAAUGGGCGGAAGCCUGAACCAGCCAAGUAGCGUGCGGGAUGAAUGCCCUACGGGUCGUAAACCGCUUUUGCACGGGGAGAAUACCCUCCACGUGUGGCGUGCUGCAUGUACCUUGCGAAUAAGCGUCGGCUAAUUCCGUGCCAGCAGCCGCGGUAAUACGGAAGGCGCGAGCGUUAUCCGGAUUCAUUGGGCUUAAAGGGUGCGUAGGCGGUCGUUCAAGUCAGCGGUAAAAUCGCGCGGCUCAACCGCGCCCCGCAGUUGAAACUGGAAGCCUUGAGUUCAGACCAGGUAGGCGGAAUUCGUGGAGUAGCGGUGAAAUGCUUAGAUAUAACGUGGAACCCCGAUUGCGAAGGCAGCCUGCCAGAGUGCGACUGACGCUGAGGCUCGAGAGUGCGGGUAUCAAACAGGAUUAGAUACCCGUGUAGUC
rnacentral:rRNA from 1 species